CUUUUUAAUCUAGCAGACUUGCGUAACAACAUCGAUCUCUGGAAAAAUUCAGAUAAGAAAUACUUUAUUUAUUUAUUUAUUUAUUUAUUUAUUAAUAGAAGGAGUAAUUAUUCACUAGAAUAAUUUAUCCAGAGGAUGCUCUGUUACAUGGAGUUUUAAAAUCAAGAUUAAAACGUCAGCCUAAAAGAUUUGCUGUAAUCAGACAGAGGUUAUUGGACUGGAUGCCACUGUUAAAAGGCAAAAUUCUUAAACUGUAAUAAAUGAGAAAUUUGGCUAGAGGAUGCUAUCUCUUUCUUUUGACCUUGGCAUAUCCGACUUUAUGGUGUCAGUCAGCAUGAACUUCUAAGUACUUAAGAAAUGAAAGGAGUUAAGCAAUUGACAGGAGUUUCUUCAGCAUAAUGAGCUGACAAUGUCCAAGGCAAACCUCUGUAGCCACUCUGAGUGGUGGGUGGAUUUGGGCUGGAUGAUCUCCAGAGGUUUCUUCCCAGCUGCUCUACUCUGUGGCUCUUUCGUACCAGUGCAUCUUUUUCCCAAGCCCAAGUAAUCUUCAGCCUUUGGAAAUAGCAGACAUCUGCUCAUUGUCAAGCUGCGUGAAACUGGGGAUACUGUAAAGAUCUCUUUUUAACAAGGAUUCAGACCCCUUGCAUAUGCUCACUGCUUUCCAGACAGCAGUUUGAUAGCCAUGGUAAUAGCCUGUGAUUCUAUUCAGUAGAUGGGUAAAAUAUACUCUCUGUCUAACUGAAUGUUUCUGUCACUUACUCACUGUUUGGCCUUUAUUGCUAAAAAUAACUAUUAUUAGCUGCAAAAGAAGAUAACUCCUCCCUGUCCCUCAACAAGUGGACAAAAGCAGGAAUAAACAUACUAGGAAAAGAGGGAACAAAUGAGAAGAUGACAAGAGGUCUCACGCAUCUCUGACAGACUUAAUACAGACUUUAUUCGUUCAGCUGAUACUGUACUGGUCAGUUUGUGGGUUGAGGUACUGUUGACAAGAAUCAGAAAUUUUAUCAUGUCACGAGGAAUUGCAUGCAAUGAAUGGAAGCAUGGAACCUUGGUCCUAGGCUGCUUUGUAGUUCCUUGUGUCCCCUCAAAGGAGCACAGCUUUGAUGAGCACAAGUAGUGCCCACUUGAUACUUCAUGGGCUCUGUCUGGCUGAUGCUUGAACACACUGGAAUGUCACACUCCCUUGAGGCCAAAACCCUGAAGGCCCUUUGCCUAACUGCUCUCCAGAGCUCUUGGCCACCUUACUGCUUCCAUGCUGGGAUGAGAUUCCCAGCAAGCAGCAGAAAGCAGAUUGUUUUCCCUUGGCAGAUAUCUAGAGUGUUGAAAUGGAAGUUCAUUUAAUUCUCCUCUGCUUUACUCAAGGCAGUCUCCAAAAAUUUAUUGGUUUCACAGAAUUUCUGCUUCAGCUUCAUCUUUCAAUAAAAGUCAAAGAUUUUCUAGCCCCUUAAAUAAAAUAUAUCUGCUCUACAAUUCUUCACUGUCCUCUAAAAAGAGGUAGGAGCAGGCAUAUGCCUGAUGCAAUACUUUUUAUGCCACAGGUAUCGUUACCAGGCAACAAUCACAUGCAGCUACAGCAGAACACAAAGUUCUCCAUCCGCUAACCCUUCAAGCACCUCAACCAAGUUGUGCCUGCAGAAAAUAUCAGAGAUCCUUGUGAAAGAAGGCAGCAACAAUGACUUUCAAAGUUAUGAAUGGUUUAAGGACAAUCAUGUUAUACUGACAUCGUUGUUACUGUGUACAAACACACAUUGCCACGAACAAGUGAUGCCACUGAAAGUUAAUUUUAUGUAUUUCUGCAGAGGCAUCCCAACCUCUCUGGUUUUCAAUAAUGUUUUGAUUAUUGCAGGUUCAGUACAAUUAUAUGAAACUGGAAGAAUGUUCCCAGCUUCCAUCCCCAAGUAGAAGAAAGAAAGAGAUGAGAAACUCGCCAGAUCCAACCAAGUUCUUUCCUAUCAAGCACUGAAAAGGGUUCCUCUCCAGUUUAACUUGGCUAAGCAAGUCCAUGGAUGCUUGGAUGGCUUUCCCCGCUGGGGAGGACACCACCUACACCAGCCUCAGGUUUACCUACAGAGCUGUGUAUUUAACAUUCUUCAUCCUGAGAUAUUAAUGGGAAGGAUGUCAGCAUCCACUCAGCAUAGUUUUGCCAUCCAGCAUCUCAGCUCUUGUUACGGUUAAUGGAAAGGCCAAACAUGAAAGGUCCAGCCCUCAAGGAUAGAGCAGAAGAUACCUGUAUGCCUACUGUUCCUGAUACCUCUGCAAAGGUGAAUGAUUGAUGCUGAUUACAUGGAAAUGAAUCUCAACCCAGAAGAAUGAAAAAAAAACCACACCAUUCUAUUUUCUGAAGGUCACCAAACAAUCAAGAGCAAAUACUGAACUUCACUUCUCUCCAAGGCAGAAUGGAUACAAAAUUAGAAAGCUGCCUGCAGCAGGUGAAAGGGAAACAGCAGGAAUCUGACUAGAGGGACCCCCUCUGGGUCCCCAGUGUACCACUGUGUGUAGCUCUGCCCAGGAGCCAUCACCCAAGUACAAAGGCACAGCAAGGAGCAAGCACUACCUGCUCCCUGCUGGUGAGCCUUUCCUUCACAUGCCAUGUGUAAGGGACUGAUACAGUUGUAUUACGCUUCACAACUUCCUUAAUGUAAAUCCUCACUAGGCUUCUGGGGAGAAAGAAGCAGCUAAAAUGACUUCUUGUUAAUGAAAUAUGCAAUACCAGAGGUACCUUGGAAGGAGAUGAUGUGCUUUGGUUCUUUCUUCCUGAGAUGAAAGAGGCAGAAGUUCAAUAUCACCAAUAAUUUUGUGUAAAUUACUCUCUGAUUGUUUUAGUUUCACACAGCUCAAUGUUACUUAUUUUCCUUCCGUUCUUGUUGGAUUUUUCAGCUAUUUUCAGUAGAUAAAGGAUGUCUCACUGCAAAGAAAUGGAAGAUACUCUCCACUAAAUUUAUUUUGGGCAGUAGAUAAGAGAAAUCCAUGAAAAUCAUUCCAGAGGCAGACUACCUUGAAAUCUGUGUGACAGGAAUAAUGAAAUGACUUCAUCAAAAACUCUUCACAAAUCAGGAUCUGUCCAUUGCUAGACAGAGAAAAACAGAGCUAGCAAUUAACACUGUAAUAUGUUAUCUGUUUCUCCUUAAAAUUUAAAGAGAUCUGUGGAAGCAUAUUGCCAGGACCAUGUUUUCUGCUUUGGUUAUAAUCUAGGUCCUUGCAAACUUUCAUUUCAAAUGGAGAUGGUGAAAAUUGUCAUUUAGGGCUUUUUGUGAACAGAUUUUUUCGUCAAACCUUCUUUAAGAAGUGCUUUUAUUAUUGUGGUGUCUUGUAAAACUGAAAAGAAAAAAAGAAGUAUAAAACAUAAAGAAGAAGAAAUAUUAAAAAAAAAGAAUAAAUUAAAAGACUAUAAUUUUGAAAGGUGCUAAUUCAAUAAUAAAAAAAAAGAAUGCUUUUCAGUUUAGAUUUAGAGACUGGAACAAUACUUGUACACAACUUUUAUGGAAGAUAUAGUCAAAUAAAGAGUGCAUUUCCAGCUACAUAGUUUGAAAUGUGUCAUUUAGAAUGACUUAAAGACUUCCUUCAUGAUGCAAAACAGGAAGAUGUAGUCUGCUAAAACUUCUAAGAAAAAAAAAAGUGUCAUUUUUAAAAAGUAUUAAUACUUAAUAUGUAUAAAAAAAACCAAAACAAACAAAAAAACAAAACAAAAACGAACAAAAAGCCAUAUUCAAAAGCAACCAGGAAAUAUUUCUGUCUGGUGUUUUCAUAGCAUUCAAAAUAUUUUGUUA